AAUAGAAAACCUUUUCCCUCCAGGGUUUCCCAGUUCUGCUUCCGGGGAAAUGCUGGGCGUUCCACGGUGUGGAGGGAACACUCGUCAUCGCCCUGUCUCACCCAGUGAGGAUCAGUCAUGUGACUCUCGAUCACCUGCCUCGAUACAACUCCCCCACCGGCCGAAUCGACUCUGCCCCCAAAGACUUCGAAGUCUACGGAAUGGAAAAUGACACCGAAGAAGGAACGCUGCUGGGAACGUUCACUUAUGAUCAGAACGGAGAUUCAACGCAGACGUUCAAGCUGACGAAACCCAGUGAGGAGGUUCAUACGUUUGUGGAGCUGCGCGUCCUCAGCAACUGGGGUCACAUCGAGUACACGUGCCUUUACCGCUUCCGCGUGCACGGAACGAUGGAGUCCAUGUGAAAUCAGCCGGCGCUGGAGCGACGACGCAUUUCUCUAAUACGACGAGAUCUGACGAGACGACGUCUCAGAGUCAGUGUUCCGACAGGCUGUGUUGACAGGUGAUGAGGUUCACUCGGGUAAAGUCUCUUUUUUUUUUUUUUUUAAUAUUAGUACAUUAUUGACAGUAUUGUUCAGUUACUUUUAAAAGAACUGAAUUUAUAAAAUGUAAUUUAUUGAAAAAA